GUGCUUGCUUCAGCAGCACAUACACUAAAAUUGGAAUGUUACAGAGAUUAGCUUGGCCCCUGCACAAUGAUGACAUGCAAAUUCAUGAGGCAUUCCAUAUUUUU
rnacentral:snRNA from 1 species